rnacentral:Y_RNA from 1 species
GGCUGGUCCGAUGGUAGUGGGUUAUCAGAACUUGUUAACAUUAGUGUCACUAAAGUUGGUAUUCAACCCCCCACUGCUAAAUUUGACUGGCUUUAA